rnacentral:lncRNA from 1 species
ACACUCUUUGACCAUGCAAUUAUAUAUUUAUUAACAACUCGUAGUUGUUGUUAGUUGUAGAAAAAAAGAGGGAGGAGAUGUAAAACUGCAGUGAAAAUAAGGGUGGCCUUGUAGUUUUGUGGGAGGAAAGAUUAGUAACAGCGCCGACAUCAGAGUGCAGAACGUAAUCAGUGACUCAUAAAAUAAGGAGUUUUCUCACCCUCUCAGAAGCAGGCACACAGCACAGGGAAACUGAGUCGUACAGCUCAGAGUCACAGGCGUAGUAUGGGAGUGGCAUCAGGUUCAGUAGAGGAAGCAGGCACACAGCACAGGGAAACUGAGUCGUACAGCUCAGAGGCACAGGCGUAGUAUGGGAGCGGCAUCAGGUUCAGUAGAGGAAGCAGGCACACAGCACAGGGAAACUGAGUCGUACAGCUCAGAGGCACAGGCGUAGUAUGGGAGCGGCAUCAGGUUCAGUAGAGGAAGCAGGCACACAGCACAGGGAAACUGAGUCGUACAGCUCAGAGUCACAGGCAUAGUAUGGGAGCGGCAUCAGGUUCAGUAGAGGAAGCUGGCACAGAUUGAUUCAUGAACUGUCAAUACUGCUGGAAAUCAGAUCCCAGUGGUUGGAGAUUAGCCUCCAGCAGUGGCUGUGAUGUCGCGCAUGAUGCCAUAGGUGUGUUAAGUCACACUGUAGACAAGAAAACAACACGUGUGAUUAUUUACUUGGUAAAGUGACAUAUUUCAGUGU